rfam:Gossypium arboreum cultivar AKA8401 contig_3948_5, whole genome shotgun sequence.
UGUUAAAAUUUUUAUCCAUUUCUAUUAUUAAAAACUGAUGUGGCUGACGAUCACAUAUACCUCAUGCUGAGGUACAUGGACUAGUUUUUAACAGAAGAAAUGGAUUAAACUUGUAACA